rnacentral:sRNA from 1 species
UUGCAUAUGGAAAAUGUCCUGACGAGUG